GCAACCCUUGCUGUAUGUUACAAGUGUCAUACGGGACUGCCGGUAUCAAGCCGGAGGAGGUGGGAUGACGUACAAGUCAGCAUCGGUCCUUUAUACUCCGGGGCUACACACACGCUACAAUGGUCAGUACAAUAGGUUGCAAAGCCGCGAGGUGGAGCCAAUCCCAAAGCUGGCCUCAGUUCAGAUUGCAGGCUGCCAACCCGCCUGCAUGAAGUUGGAGUUGCUAGUAACCGCGCGUCAGCCAUAGUGCGGUGAAUACGUUCCCGGGCCUU
rnacentral:rRNA from 1 species